rnacentral:rRNA from 1 species
AUGACAUUGUCUGCCUAUGUGUCUUGACCAAAUUACGUGCCAGCAGUCGCGGUAAUACGUAGAAGACUAGUGUUAUUCAUGUUUAAUCGGUUUAAAGGGUACCUAGACGGCAGAUCAAGCUUUCGAUGAAAUAUAAUUAAAGGAAAAGGACUAAUUUGCUAGAGUUACUUGUGAGGGGGUAUUAAAGUACUGCUGGUGUAGAGAUGAAAUUCUGUCAUACCUCUCUUCGAAAGAAGAAUGAUGGCACAGGUAUAGGCGAAGGCAUCCCCUUAUGUGAUAACUGACGUUGAGGGACGAAGGCUUUGUGUAGCGAACAGGAUUAGAUACCCCAGUAGUCGAAGCAGAAAAUGAUGAAUGUCAUAGAUUAGAUAUAAGUUUAUUCUAUAAAUGAAAGUGUAAGCAUUCCACCUCAUGAGUAAUUUGGCAACAUUGGAACUGAAAUCAUUAGACCGUUUCUGAAACCAGUAGUGAAGUAUGUUGUUUAAUUUGAUGAUCCGCAAAAAACCUUACCACAAUUUGAAUAUUUAUAUUUUUUUUUUAUUGUUUCCUUAUUAAUUUUUUUCUAAUAACAAACGAAACGUGCGAAGAAAAAAACAUAUUGUAUAAAUGAUAAUACUGAAUGGCGCAAAUGAUAAUCCUGAAUAAAUGAAGAUCCUGAAGGGUACAAAUAAUUAAUAAUUAGAAGAAAUCUAAUAAAGAGGCAAUAAGAUAUAUUUUACAAGCGA